AGAGCUGAAAUCUCCAGAGAUCACAAGAAGGAGAAUAUCUGGCUCAAUAUGUGCAUCUAUAUGGAUUUUAAAAAUAUCUGGAGGAGGCAACCACAGUUGAAAUGAGAGCUGCAAAAGCUGGAAAGUCAUCACUGAUGAUGUACAGCAAAAGAGAGAGACAUGAGCUAGGAUACAGGAGAACUGGUGCUUAUGUUAAGAUCCUCCACUGAUCUGGUGACCUCCGCCAAGUCAGACAUGAAGACAGUCAUCUAAGUGUCCUCAGUCUUUUCUGAAGAAGAAUAUGAUGGCUAAUGGUGUUCUGCCAGGACAUACAUCUGUUUGUAUUUAGGCUUCUCUCCACAUGGUUGGAUUUGUAAUGUGGACAAAGAAUUACCUUUUCUUUCCAUAUUCUGUAUGGGCUUAAGCUAAUUUUCUCAUUAUUCAGUUUCAGUCACCUUACAACAUCCCAGGACUUCUAUUCUU